rnacentral:lncRNA from 1 species
GUGUGGUGGGGCGGGGGUGGUGUGGAUAAAAGAAGCCAGACUUUUUAGUUAUUGUCCAGCCCGGGGAGUGUUUGCAGGUGGCUGCUGGAAAGUUUUCGCUACAAUUUACUACAGUUUGCAGGAAACUCUAGACGUGAGAGUGUGGGACGUGGGGUAAAUGCCAACGCCGGGAGGGACAAGCCACAGAGAGCUAAUGGCCCAUUGUCCGGGCCUGUCGUGUGGUCUCCUCAGGGGCCAGGCCCUCUCUAGACAGAGCCCUGGCAACAGUCCCUCAGCUGCUCCGUCAGCCAUUGGCAGCCACUCCUGGGGACAAGGCGCUUCUGUGUCCCUCCCCACUAGAACUCCGCCACGGGCCAAGAGACUGACCCCGGAAUCAGCAGCAGCUUUCAACUUGAGCCUUUUGUAAGUGAACAAUGGUUAACUCUGGCUCUCAGAGGACCUCAGAGGCAGCUCCUUUCACAGUGGGAUUUCCUUCCUUGUGGGUUUUCCCAGCUGUCUUUGUCUUGGGUCAUGUCUAACAGAUGUCUGUGGCCUUGAAGAGCCUUCUGAAAAACCGGUGACAGCUAGACCUGGGGUCCUUCCGGGAAAACUGCAGCGAGGGCCCUUCCGAGGUCAGCUGGGGCCUUGGCAGGAACAACACCGGCACAUCGCAGGAUGCCUCUCCCUCCCCCAUCCUCUAGGAGUCACAGAGAACUUGCAGGGAGAUGGAAGAGAUAGAAUCCGAUGCAGUCAGAUGGAGAUAAAAAUCAAAUUCCAAGAAUUCCUCUUCUGGGGGCCUCCUGCAAAUGUAUGAAGAGCUCCUGAAGCAUGUGAAAUAUGAAACUGCAAGCUGGAUGGCUUCAUCGCAGGUUAAUGACAAAGCUGAGUGCCGUGGAUCAUAUUUUCCAAAAAUGGCUGCAACAACAUCUCUCAUUGCACAUGCUUUUCAGCAAAGUGACCUUCCCGCUCCCCAGGAGGAGGGGCACUUGAUGUCUCCACACCCUGGAAUCUGGGUGGGCCCCAUGGCUGCUUUCAUCAAUAGGAUACCGUGGAAAUAAUGUCGCCACAAUUCUGAGCAAAGCCUUCACUGGUCUGGCAGCUUCGGCUUCCUACCCUUUGAAACACUCAGUCCUGGAAUGCUCCUCUGGAAACCCAGCCACCAAACCGUGAGAAGCUCAAGUCACAGAGGAAGGCUCACAUAAGUCAACAGCCCCAUCGGGGCCAUCAUUGCUGGGGGCUAUUCUACACCAUGAUGGGAUCUUACAGGAUGACCAGCCCAUCCUGUUCAGUCUUCAGGUGACUGCAUUCCUAGCUGCCAUGAUAUCAGGCUGCAGUCACAUGGGAGAUUUGGAGCAAGAACCACAUGGCUGAGCCCGGUCAACUCACAGAACCAUGAGAGAUAACAAUAGAUUGUUAUUUAAGCUGUUAUAUUUUGGAGUAGUUUGUUACUCAACAAUAGAUACCCUAAACACUAAGAUUAGGGAUUAAGCCGUGGGCCAAGGACAGCCAUAAAUGCAGGCCCAUGGUCAUGAAGGGAAUGGGGCAGUGGAAUGUGAGUGGUCAGGUGACAUCUGACCCCACAAGGGCAAGACACUGCAGGAUAAAUGCCCAGGGUGUGGGAUGAGUAACAGGACAGGAGACUGGAUUCUGGCUCUCACCUCAAGCUCCAGCUUUGUCACCUAAGUGGAAACAAAUCCUACAGGGUGUUAUGAGGAUUAAACAAAAAGGCGUAAAUGAAGAUACUUUACACUCUAUGAGCCUUUCCCAGAAGGUAUCAUUACAAUUUCCUACAGAUGGUUGGAUGCUAACGAGUUGUUAGUAUCUGAAGGUGGUGUAUCCCAUGAAGCUUUAUCAUGAAUGGGCUUCUGCUUGGAAGUGCUUCAUAGCAACCCCGAGAAGCAAUUCUUAAGUCAUAAUCAUACACGUCCCCCACCAGGGGUCUGUUGAGUUCUCCACAUUCAUUCAGUCAGUCCGUCCUUCCUUCACUCACUAAUUACUUGAGGGCUAAGUACAUGCCACACAGUGUUGUAGGCACUGGGCACAGAGCAGUGAGCAAAA